rnacentral:rRNA from 2 species
ACGGGUGAGUAACGCGUGGCAACGUACCUUUUGGUUCGGAACAACACAGGGAAACUUGUGCUAAUACCGGAUAAGCCCUUACGGGGAAAGAUUUAUCGCCGAAAGAUCUGCCCGCGUCUGAUUAGCUAGUUGGUGAGGUAAUGGCUCACCAAGGCGACGAUCAGUAGCUGGUCUGACAGGAUGAUCAUCCACAUUGGAACUGAGACACGGCCCAAACUCCUACGGGAGGCAACAGUGGGGAAUAUUGGACAAUGGGGGCAACCCUGAUCCAGCCAUGCCGCGUGAGUGAUGAAGGCCCUAGGGUUGUAAAGCUCUUUUGUGCGGGAAGAUAAUGACGGUACCGCAAGAAUAAGCCCCGGCUAACUUCGUGCCAGCAGCCGCGGUAAUACGAAGGGGGCUAGCGUUGCUCGGAAUCACUGGGCGUAAAGGGUGCGUAGGCGGGUCUUUAAGUCAGGGGUGAUAUCCUGGAGCUCACUCCAGAACUGCCUUUGAUACUGAAGAUCUUGAGUUCGGGAGAGGUGAGUGGAACUGCCAGUGUAGAGGUGAAAUUCGUAGAUAU